rnacentral:rRNA from 1 species
GAUGAACGCUAGCGGCAGGCCUAAUACAUGCAAGUCGAGCGCUCCCAGCAAUGGGGGAGCGGCGGACGGGUGAGUAACGCGUAGGAACGUAUCCUGAGGUGGGGGAUAACCCUGGGAAACUAGGGCUAAUACCGCAUGAUGGCGAGAGCCCAAAGAUUUAUCGCCUUGGGAGCGGCCUGCGUCUGAUUAGCUUGUUGGUGGGGUAACGGCCUACCAAGGCGAUGAUCAGUAGCUGGUCUGAGAGGAUGAUCAGCCACACUGGGACUGAGACACGGCCCAGACUCCUACGGGAGGCAGCAGUGGGGAAUAUUGGACAAUGGGCGAAAGCCUGAUCCAGCAAUGCCGCGUGAGUGAAGAAGGCCUUAGGGUUGUAAAGCUCUUUUAGUAAGGAAAAUAAUGAUGGUACUUACAGAAAAAGACACCGGCUAACUCCGUG